rnacentral:rRNA from 1 species
AUUGGGCGUAAGAGCUCGUAGGCGGUUUGUCGCGUCUGUCGUGAAAGUCCGGGGCUUAACCCCGGAUCUGCGGUGGGUACGGGCAGACUAGAGUGCAGUAGGGGAGACUGGAAUUCCUGGUGUAGCGGUGGAAUGCGCAGAUAUCAGGAGGAACACCGAUGGCGAAGGCAGGUCUCUGGGCUGUAACUGACGCUGAGGAGCGAAAGCAUGGGGAGCGAACAGGAUUAGAUACCCUGGUAGUCCAUGCCGUAAACGUUGGGCACUAGGUGUGGGGACCAUUCCACGGUUUCCGCGCCGCAGCUAACGCAUUAAGUGCCCCGCCUGGGGAGUACGGCCGCAAGGCUAAAACUCAAAGGAAUUGACGGGGGCCCGCACAAGCGGCGGAGCAUGCGGAUUAAUUCGAUGCAACGCGAAGAACCUUACCAAGGCUUGACAUGUUCUCGAUCGCCGUAGAGAUACGGUUUCCCCUUUGGGGCGGGUUCACAGGUGGUGCAUGGUUGUCGUCAGCUCGUGUCGUGAGAUGUUGGGUUAAGUCCCGCAACGAGCGCAACCCUCGUUCCAUGUUGCCAGCACGUCGUGGUGGGGACUCAUGGGAGACUGCCGGGGUCAACUCGGAGGAAGGUGAGGACGACGUCAAAUCAUCAUGCCCCUUAUGUCUGGCUUCACGCAUGCUACAAUGGCCGGUACCAUUGGCUGCGAUACUGUGAGGUUGGAGCUAUCCAAAAAGCCGGGUUCUUC